UUCCUUGUCGGGUAAGUUCCGACCUGCACGAAUGGCGUAAUCAUGGCCACACUGUCUCCACCCGAGACUCAGUGAAAUUGAAAUCGCAGUGAAGAUGCUGUGUACCCGCGGCUAGACGGAAAGACCCCGUGAACCUUUACUGCAGCUUGACACUGAACUUUGAACAUGUUUGUGCAGGAUAGGCGGGAGGCAUCGAAGUGGAGACGCCAGUUUCCAUGGAGCCAAUCUUGAGAUACCGCCCUGACCUGUUUGAAGUUCUAACUUGAGAGAGACCCUUGAAAGGACAGUGUCUGGUGGGAAGUUUGACUGGGGCGGUCUCCUCCCAAAGGGU
rnacentral:rRNA from 16 species